UACGUAGGAGGCAAGCGUUGUCCGGAAUUACUGGGCGUAAAGCGCGUGUAGGUGGUGGGACAAGUCUGCUGUGAAAGCGCCUGGCUUAACCGGGCGAGGUCGGCGGAAACUGUCCGACUCGAGGACGGUAGAGGGGGGUGGAAUUCCCGGUGUAGUGGUGAAAUGCGUAGAUAUCUGGAGGAACACCGGUGGCGAAGGCGGCAUCCUGGACCAACACUGACGCUGAGGAGCGAAAGCCAGGGGAGCAAACGGG
rnacentral:rRNA from 1 species